GAUGAACGCUGGCGGCGUGCCUAAUACAUGCAAGUCGAGCGAACGGACGAGAAGCUUGCUUCUCUGAUGUUAGCGGCGGACGGGUGAGUAACACGUGGAUAACCUACCUAUAAGACUGGGAUAACUUCGGGAAACCGGAGCUAAUACCGGAUAAUAUUUUGAACCGCAUGGUUCAAAAGUGAAAGACGGUCUUGCUGUCACUUAUAGAUGGAUCCGCGCUGCAUUAGCUAGUUGGUAAGGUAACGGCUUACCAAGGCAACGAUGCAUAGCCGACCUGAGGGGGGGAUCGGCAACAGGGAAAAUAGGACACGGACCAAACCCCUAGGGGGGGCAGCGGUGGGAAUUCUUCCGAAGGGGGCAAAGGCCUGAAGGGGCAACGCCGGGGGGGGAAGAAAGGUUUUGGAAUGGUAAAACCGUGUUUUUGGGGAAAAACAAAGGUGUAGGAAACUGGGCACCUUUUAACGGAACCAAAUAAGAAGGCCAGGCCAAACUACGG
rnacentral:rRNA from 1 species